rnacentral:rRNA from 1 species
UGGGGAAUAUUGCACAAUGGGCACAAGCCUGAUGCAGCCAUGCCGCGUGUAUGAAGAAGGCCUUCGGGUUGUAAAGUACUUUCAGCGAGGAGGAAGGCGUUGUGGUUAAUAACCGCAACGAUUGACGUUACUCGCAGAAGAAGCACCGGCUAACUCCGUGCCAGCAGCCGCGGUAAUACGGAGGGUGCAAGCGUUAAUCGGAAUUACUGGGCGUAAAGCGCACGCAGGCGGUCUGUCAAGUCGGAUGUGAAAUCCCCGGGCUCAACCUGGGAACUGCAUCCGAAACUGGCAGGCUAGAGUCUUGUAGAGGGGGGUAGAAUUCCAGGUGUAGCGGUGAAAUGCGUAGAGAUCUGGAGGAAUACCGGUGGCGAAGGCGGCCCCCUGGACAAAGACUGACGCUCAGGUGCGAAAGCGUGGGGAGCAAACA